GACGAACGCUGGCGGCGUGCUUAACACAUGCAAGUCGAACGGAAAGGCCCUGCUUUUGUGGGGUUCUCGAGUGGCGAACGGGUGAGUAACACGUGAGUAACCUGCCCUUGACUUUGGGAUAACUUCAGGAAACUGGGGCUAAUACCGGAUAUGAGCUCCUGCUCCAUGGUGGGGGUUUGAAAGUUUCGGCGGUUGGGGAUGGACUCGCGGCUUAUCAGCUUGUUGGUGGGGUAGUGGCUUACCAAGGCUUUGACGGGUAGCCGGCCUGAGAGGGUGACCGGCCACAUUGGGACUGAGAUACGGCCCAGACUCCUACGGGAGGCAGCAGGGGGGAAUAUUGCACAAUGGGCGGAAGCCUGAUGCAGCAACGCCGCGUGCGGGAUGACGGCCUUCGGGUUGUAAACAGCUUUCGAAUGUGACGAAGAGUGAGUGACGGUAAUGGGUAAAGAAGCACCGGCUAACUACGUG
rnacentral:rRNA from 1 species